rnacentral:lncRNA from 1 species
UUGAAACAACUGAUGGUUGAGUAUUUCUGGCCCUGGCAAAUGCAGAAUCACUUGUAGGACCUGAAUGUUGAGCUGUUGUCUCAGCAACCUGUGAUGGUUGAGUAGCACCAGAAUUACUGGUUCCUGCUAUUCUAGAUCCUUGUCCUCUCUGAUAUUUUCAAAAAUACAAACUAAGAUAUAUAAAUUUAAAAAGUACAGGACACAAUCAGACACAAAUUGAAUAUAUUACCAGGAUAAGACACCCCUUCUUAUUAUGGCCUACCAUCUUACAGUUAGAGCAUGUCAUAUGUGUCCCUUUCCUUGAUCUCUUACCAAACUUCUUGUUAGGUUCAUCAACAAAUUUUUUUUCCUGUUUUUCUUUGGUCUACCAAGCAUCUUGGUAAUCACAGGAUGCUCAACAAUUGGAUUUUCUGUUGAUGGCCACAUCUCCAUGUUGGUUACUGGCUGUAUGUAACAACUAAAAGCCUUCAGAUAUGUUUCUUUCUUGUACCAGUGGGUUACAUAGUCAGCAGGAUCAUAUUUCUUAAAAAACAUUGCACAUAGUGCAUGGGAGCGUGGUAGUCCUUUGAGCUGCCAUGAUCUGCAUGUGCAUGUAUUACAUAGUCAGCAUGCUCAAAUUUCUUAAAAGAAGCUGCACAUAUUGCAUGGGAGCAUGGUAGUCCUUUGAGCUGCCAUGAUCUACAUGUGCAUGUAUUGUUGGAGAAGAAGUUUCAGUAGAAGAACUUUCAGC